CACCGCAGUUGGUAUCCCUGCGCGUCAUGAUAAAAUAAUUUUACAUUUCGGUUGUUCGGUCGACAAAAUGUCGACUCGGUGUUACUUUCGGUGGAAAACAGUUGUACGAAAGCACAAUGACAGGAAAGCACAUGACUAAUCUUUUAGACUGCGUUAGCUAAUGACUUCUAGUAUUGAAGCAUUGAAUGAAAAAAGUUCGGGCUGGAGUCUUCAUCACUGAAACAAUGGAACAACGUUUCAACAACGAUGAUAGCCAUCGUAGCUAAAACAAUUUCCCGGAAAAUGUGCCUGUAACAAAUGCGCUGAUGCCGAAGCAAGGGCAAACGCCACAGAUAACAAAAUGCCGAGCAAAAGGUGGCUCACCAUCGACCAAUAUCUUAACACCGUGACAAAGCAGAGUGAACUGAAGUAGUUACAACUUGUAGUCAAAAACACAUGAUGUCAAUCCCAUCAAGGGUUUCAGUGUGCCCCAGACACUAUUGGAAAGUAUCGGCCUUUGACGAAACACUGGAAUAAUGAAGCUUGGUGGAAAUAAUCAAGACGAGUCGCAUUGACCAUUGCGUGCCGACCUAACAUCACUAGGGCGGCAGCUACUAAGUCCAACGGAUGCACGGUUGUCGAAUCUCGAGAAGGCCCAAGCCCGUGAGCCUAUGCACGUAGAAGAAAUAUGUAAUUGUGAAUUAUACUAUUGUAAAUAUAGAAAAAAGUGAUAAUUUCGAAGAAGGUCGUGACCAAUGCAUUCGCGCAUUUUUAGCAAUACAGCAUUAGAAAUUCACGAUUCGACAUCUUUUAUAUCUGUUAUAGAUGGAGGCUUGUUUGCUCGCAGAGAUCAGACGAAAAAUAUAAUUUAAACUU